AUCUCUGCAUUACUAGCUAGGCGAAGCCGUCGUCUGAGUCAGUCGCAGCAAAACGAGCAGCUCUUCAUGCAUGCCCCGUACCAUAACAAGAAUCUUUUUCCAUUUAAGUCAUGGUUGUGUUAAAAAAUGUUGGAUCGGGAGAAAAUUCAGGAAAGUACAUUUUGAUAUUUAAAAAAAAAAAAAUUAAAAAGAAUAAAAAAAGAAAUGUACUCUCAUAUGAAAACGUAAACGAAAGAAUUAAUUAUGAAAAAACAAAAGUAUGAAUUAAUAAUCUAUAGAUAUGUAUGUAUGGGAGUGGACCCAUAUUAAUUUGUUGUUAUUUAACAAAAGAAAAUUUUGUCGUACGUACAGUCUAAAAAUAGUUUAGGGGUUUCUGUUUUUUUUUUUUACAGGAUAACUUUUUUCUUUGUUUUCCACUGUACAGUUUAUUACAGUAGAAGAAGAAGAGUUUUCACGGGUUUAUUACUUUAUUGGAGUUUUGAACUUGCGGCUUUU
rnacentral:lncRNA from 1 species